rnacentral:lncRNA from 1 species
GACCGAGCAGUAAGCAGAAGGGCGCUGAGCUAGGAAGCAGUGGGUUUGUUUGCUUGUUUCAGGUGUGAAAGCUGCAAAAUGUUCCCAUCAAAGAAGAGGGGAAAUGGCACCGAGUGGUCAAGGAGGGGCUAUACAUGAAGAAGCCAAAAUAUUCCUUUCUUUGAAACUGGAUACAGUGUCUCCUUGUCCUCAUGGGCUAAAGAC